AUGUUGAUGAUUUCUAUCUGCACCCAGAAUCUUUGCGUGAAAAAUUCUUACCGAAAGAGAUGUUUUCAACUAAUACCACGACACUUAUUUUGGAAUGGAGGGAGUAGUUUUUUUUAUCAUUUUAAAGCUUAUCCAACUACACAUCAUUUAAUGCCUAGGAAAGAAGUGGAUGCACAGAAGCUUGAGGCACGCCGAACAAUGAGGAGGACGAGGAAAGAGAGAGUGGGGUCCGUGGAGGAUAUGUACGCGCUACGUGUUGGCCGGAUGGAAGUGAAGGCCGAAGGAGAAGGCUGGCACUGGACAUCUUUUUGA
rnacentral:rRNA from 1 species